CUGCAGUCUGGGCAACAAGAGUGAAACUCCAUCUCAAAAAAAAAAAAGACCUUAGCUUUUCCUCUGAGAGCAGAAACUUUGGAGGGGCUUGAGUCAAGCAAUGGCGUGAUCUGCUUCGUAUCUUAACAGAGUCACCUUGGCUGCUCGGUCAGGGCAGGGGGACAAGUGUGGAGGCAGCAAAGUCAAUUUGGACGCUGUGGCCAACAACCAUAAGCACGGCUGAGGUCACCUAGGGAGUGCUUGUGGAUGAACAGGGAAGAGGCCCAAGACUGGACGUGGAGGUCUCCAAUGUUUAGAGUCAGGGAAAUGAAGGACACCAACAAAACUCACCUAAGAGAGGAGCAGUCGAAGAAGGAGGGGAACUGCUGAGCAUGGGCUCUGGAAGCCACAGCUCCAGGAAGAGGAAGUGAACAGCUCUGUCAAACGCUGCUGCUGGGUGGAGCUCCCUGAAGACAGAGAGUGAACCCUUGGUUUUCGCCAUGUAGAGGUCUGCUGUGCUGAGACUCAUGGCAAACCCCAGGAGCCACCUAUGAUGUGCCAGACACAUAAGCCCCUCCCUCACAGGCGUGGGUGCAGCCGGGGCCGACCGCAUUCCAAGGAGCAUUUCCUCUGAAAGCCAGGCCAAGUGCCCGCUCUCCAGCGUGAGUCAAGCAGUGCCAUGCCUCCCACACCCCUUGCAUCACAUCUCUGGGAAUGCACAGACCUUGCUGUUACGCUCUCUCUUCCCACCCUUUAUGGGUGUUUUCUUUAAGUGGCAGAAGGAAGUGGGCAUGGGUUGGGAGAGGACCAUGAAUUCUAGUUUCUGCCAUACUGCAGGUGGAUUUGGGGAAGAAGAGAGUCUCCUUUCUGGCCCACACCACAGGGACAUUCAGAAGCAGUUGUUAAAGGGGGAGCAGCAUUGGCUGGGCCCAGGGAAGGACAAGUAGAUGACUGUAUAAAGCCAGGCAUGAGAGCAGUUGGAAUAAGUUGUUUCACUCAUAAAUUUAUGGUGAGCCUUGUCCAUAUUGUUAAUGGCAUAUUCUUGUGAAGCAGACCUACAUACUUCUGAAAAGCACGGCCUUGUUCCCUGCUCAGCUAACUCUGUCUGAUCUCCUGACAUAUAUAUGUGGCAAUUUGGAAUUCUAAGCAGAGUUCAAAAUUCUAGGCCAAGAUUGGGAUUUGGAGGAGAAAAGGGGCCAGUUCCAGAGCAAGGGGAAGAAUAAAAUCUCUCCACUGUGGACACUGAAAUGAGACUGAUAAUGACCUAUUUAUUAUCCAUCUAGGGCAGACCCCACAGGCAGGGGUCAUGCAUGGGGGAGUUCAAAACCUAGUUCAUCAGGUUCUUUCCUCCAGGAUUUUGGUCUAGGCAACAUCAGAUGAAAACGAACACUAAGGGCAAUCCUGAAGAACCAAAAGAAACUGGCAAUGGACAGGUGUGGAAAAGCAGAGAAGCAGAGAAGUAGAGAAGCUUCAGAAAUUGCUUUGUGAAGUUGAAUGUGGAUGUAAAUAGGCAGCAGUUGCUGCCUCCUCCUUUCCCAAGGCUCAGCUCCCAUUUCUAGUAGUUUAAUUUAGAAUCCAAGAAACCCUGGACCUGUGCCUUCCCUCUAAAUGACAAGGAGUAAUAGAAGAUGAGGAUAACAAGGUAAAGGUAGCUUACCUUUGCAAUUCCAGCACUUUUGAGAAGCACAAAAAUUACUUGAGAGCCAUGACUUCAAAACCAACCCGGGGAACAGAAUAACACCUGCUCACUCCCAAAAACGUAAAAUGUAGCCUGACAGAGCGUCCAGACUUGGUGCGUUCGUCUCACAGACUUCACUCAGCAGAUCUUUGUGCCACACCUACCUGUCUUCAUCAUGACCCCCCUCAAUGCCUGGCAGCCACAAAUCUGUUCACUUCCAAAACUUUGUAUUAUCAAUAAUGUUAUAUACAUAGAAUCAUGUAGGCGUGUGUGGGAUUUUUUUCCACUCUGCAUACUUCCUUGGAGCUUCAUCCAAGUUGUUGCAUUUAUUGUGAAUUUGUUCCUUUUGAUUGCUAAGUGAUAGUUUGUAGUUUGGAUGUACACAGUUUAACUAUUCAUUAAAGGACAUUUGGACUGUCUCCAAAUUUUGGGCUAUUAUGAACAAGACUCCUAUGAACAUUCUUAUAUGGGUUUUUAUGUUAAUGUACAUUGUAAUUUCUCUG
rnacentral:lncRNA from 10 species